GACGAACGCUGGCGGCGUGCCUAAUACAUGCAAGUCGAACGCACAGUUUAUACCGUAGCUUGCUACACCAUAAACUGUGAGUUGCGAACGGGUGAGUAACGCGUAGGUAACCUGCCUGGUAGCGGGGGAUAACUAUUGGAAACGAUAGCUAAUACCGCAUAAUAUUGAUUAUUGCAUGAUAAUUGAUUGAAAGAUGCUAUUGCAUCACUACCAGAUGGACCUGCGUUGUAUUAGCUAGUAGGUGAGGUAACGGCUCACCUAGGCGACGAUACAUAGCCGACCUGAGAGGGUGAUCGGCCACACUGGGACUGAGACACGGCCCAGACUCCUACGGGAGGCAGCAGUAGGGAAUCUUCGGCAAUGGACGAAAGUCUGACCGAGCAACGCCGCGUGAGUGAAGAAGGUUUUCGGAUCGUAAAGCUCGGUUGUAAGAGAAGAACGGGUGUGAGAGUGGAAAGUUCACACUGUGACGGUAUCUUACCAGAAAGGGACGGCUAACUACGUG
rnacentral:rRNA from 1 species